rnacentral:rRNA from 1 species
GUUGAAACAUUGGUUCCCAUAUGAUCACCAAAGUUAAACAACAUCAAACUUGGUCAGUACCUAGAUGUGUGGCUGCUUGGGAAUACUAGGUGCUGUAAG